rnacentral:rRNA from 1 species
UACGGGGGGGGCAAGCGUUGUUCGGAAUUACUGGGCGUAAAGGGCUCGUAGGCGGCCAACUAAGUCAUACGUGAAAUCCCUCGGCCUAACCGGGGAACUGCGUCUGAUACUGGAUGGCUUGAGUUCGGGAGAGGGAUGCGGAAUUCCAGGUGUAGCGGUGAAAUGCGUAGAUAUCUGGAGGAACACCGGUGGCGAAGGCGGCAUCCUGGACCGAUACUGACGCUGAGGAGCGAAAGCCAGGGGAGCAAACGGG